AUAAUAUAUAUUAUAUAAAGAAAAGUCAUAAAUAAUAAUAAUAUAUUAUUAUUUAAUUAAAUAAUAAUAAUAUAUUUAAAUAAAUAAUAUAAAUAAUUAAAUUGAAAUAUAUAUUUAUUUUAAUAAAAUAUUAUAUAUUAAUAAUAUUUUAAAUAUAAUUAAUUAAUAUAAUUAAUUAUAUUAUAGUUAUAUAAUAUACAUAAAUAAGCUUAUAUAUAGUAUAUAGU
rnacentral:ncRNA from 2 species